rnacentral:piRNA from 1 species
UCCAAUAAAACAAGCCAGGUAGCUAGUGC